AUCAAAAACAUCACCUCUAGCAUAACUAGUAUUAGAGGCACUGCCUGCCCAGUGACAAUAGUUAAACGGCCGCGGUAUCUUGACCGUGCAAAGGUAGCAUAAUCACUUGUUCUCUAAAUAAGGACUUGUAUGAAUGGCCACACGAGGGUUUUACUGUCUCUUACUCUUAAUCAGUGAAAUUGACCUCCCCGUGAAGAGGCGGGGAUAACACAAUAAGACGAGAAGACCCUAUGGAGCUUUAAUUAAUCAACUCAAAAAGCAUAAAAUAAUACCACCAAGGGAUAACAAAGCUUUAUAUGAAUUGACAAUUUCGGUUGGGGUGACCUCGGAGUAUAAAAAAUCCUCCGAGUGAUUAAAACUUAGGCCUACCAGCCAAAGUAUAGUAUCACUUAUUGAUCCAAAACUUUGAUCAACGGAACAAGUUACCCUAGGGAUAACAGCGCAAUCCUAUUCUAGAGUCCAUAUCGACAAUAGGGUUUACGACCUCGAUGUUGGAUCAGGACAUCCUAAUGGUGCAGCAGCUAUUAAGGGUUCGUUUGUUCAACGAUUAAAGUCCUACGUGAUCUGAGU
rnacentral:rRNA from 1 species